GAUGAAGAACGUAGCGAAAUGCGAUAAGUAAUGUGAAUUGCAGAAUUCAGUGAAUCAUCGAAUCUUUGAACGCACAUUGCGCCCUUUGCUAUUCCGAAGGGCAUGCCUGUUCGAGCGUCAUUUCACCACUCAAGCCUGGCUUGGUAUUGGGCGCCGCGGUCGAUCCGCGCGCCUCAAAGUCUCCGGCUGAGCUGUCCGUCUCUAAGCGUUGUGAUUUCAUUAAUCGCUUCGGAGUGCGGGCGGCCGCGGCCGUUAAAUCUUUCACAAGGUUGACCUCGGAUCAGGUAGGGAUACCCGCUGAACUUAAGCAUAUCAAUAAGCGGAGGA
rnacentral:misc_RNA from 1 species